AACAUACCCCCUCCGUCCCAUAUUCAGUGACUUAAAUUUGUCUAAAUAUGGACGUAUCUAUAUACUAAAAUACAUCUAGAUAUAUGUAAUAUUUCGGCACUUAAUAUGGGACGGAGGGAGUAGUAA
rfam:Brachypodium distachyon strain Bd21 chromosome 3, whole genome shotgun sequence.